GACGAACGCUGGCGGCGUGCUUAACACAUGCAAGUCGAACGGAAAGGCCCUGCUUUUGUGGGGUGCUCGAGUGGCGAACGGGUGAGUAACACGUGAGUAACCUGCCCUUGACUUUGGGAUAACUUCAGGAAACUGGGGCUAAUACCGGAUAGGAGCUCCUGCUGCAUGGUGGGGGUUGGAAAGUUUCGGCGGUUGGGGAUGGACUCGCGGCUUAUCAGCUUGUUGGUGGGGUAGUGGCUUACCAAGGCUUUGACGGGUAGCCGGCCUGAGAGGGUGACCGGCCACAUUGGGACUGAGAUACGGCCCAGACUCCUACGGGAGGCAGCAGGGGGGAAUAUUGCACAAUGGGCGGAAGCCUGAUGCAGCAACGCCGCGUGCGGGAUGACGGCCUUCGGGUUGUAAACCGCUUUCGCCUGUGACGAACCGUGAGUGACGGUAAUGGGUAAAGAAGCACCGGCUAACUACGUG
rnacentral:rRNA from 1 species